rnacentral:rRNA from 1 species
CAGUCGCCACGGUAAUACGUAGGGUGCGAGCGUUAAUCGGAAUUACUGGGCGUAAAGCGUGCGCAGGCGGUUGUGUAAGACAGGCGUGAAAUCCCCGGGCUCAACCUGGGAAUGGCGCUUGUGACUGCAAAGCUAGAGUGCGGCAGAGGGGGAUGGAAUUCCGCGUGUAGCAGUGAAAUGCGUAGAUAUGCGGAGGAACACCGAUGGCGAAGGCAAUCCCCUGGGCCUGCACUGACGCUCAUGCACGAAAGCGUGGGGAGCAAACAGGAUUAGAUACCCCCGUAGUCCCUGUCUCUUAUAC